CUUGCUUUCUCCGCCGGCGACCGGCGCACGGGUGAGUAACACGUAUGCAACCUGCCCCUGGUCAGGGGGACAACCCGCCGAAAGGCGGGCUAAACCCGCGUACAUGCCACCGGGGCAUCCCGGAGGCAGGAAAGGCUUCGGCCGGACAGGGAUGGGCAUGCGGCGCAUUAGGCAGUAGGCGGGGUAACGGCCCACCUAACCGACGAUGCGUAGGGGUUCUGAGAGGAAGGUCCCCCACACUGGUACUGAGACACGGACCAGACUCCUACGGGAGGCAGCAG
rnacentral:rRNA from 1 species